rnacentral:tRNA from 1 species
GGGUUAGUGGUCUAGUGGUAUGAUUUUCGCUUAGGGUGCGAGAGGUCCGGAGUUCAAUUCUCCGCUAACCCC